rnacentral:rRNA from 1 species
GAGUUUGAUCCUGGCUCAGAACGUACGCUGGCGGCACGCCUAACACAUGCAAGUCGAACGAGGUAGCAAUACUUAGUGGCGGACGGGUGAGUAACAUGUGGGUAUCUACCCUUUGGCCUGGAAUAACACGAGGAAACUUGUGCUAAUACCGGAUAAGUCUUUACGGAGAAAGCUUUAUGCACCAUUGGAUGAGCCCGCACUUGAUUAGUUUGUUGGUAGGGUAAUGGCCUACCAAGACUAUGAUCAAUAGCUGAUUUGAGAGGAUGAUCAGCCACAUUGGGACUGAGACACGGCCCAAACUCCUACGGGAGGCAGCAGUGGGGAAUCUUGCACAAUGGAGGAAACUCUGAUGCAGCGAUGCCGCGUGAGUGAAGAAGGCCUUUGGGUUGUAAAGCUCUUUCGUCGGGGAAGAAAAUGACUGUACCCGAAUAAGAAGGUCCGGCUAACUACGUGCCAGCAGCCGCGGUAAUACGUAGGGUGCAAGCGUUAAUCGGAAUUACUGGGCGUAAAGCGUGCGCAGGCAGUUUUAUAAGUCAGAUGUGAAAUCCCCGAGCUCAACUUGGGAACUGCGUUUGAAACUGUAAGACUAGAGUGUGUCAGAGGGGGGUAGAAUUCCAAGUGUAGCAGUGAAAUGCGUAGAGAUUUGGAGGAAUACCAAUGGCGAAGGCAGCCCCCUGGGAUAACACUGACGCUCAUGCACGAAAGCGUGGGGAGCAAACAGGAUUAGAUACCCUGGUAGUCCACGCCCUAAACGAUGUCUACUAGUUGUUGGUGGAGUAAAAUCCAUGAGUAACGCAGCUAACGCGUGAAGUAGACCGCCUGGGGAGUACGGUCGCAAGAUUAAAACUCAAAUGAAUUGACGGGGGCCCGCACAAGCGGUGGAUUAUGUGGAUUAAUUCGAUGCAACGCGAAAAACCUUACCUGGCCUUGACAUGUACCGAAUUUAGCAGAGAUGCUUUAGUGCUCGAAAGAGAACGGUAACACAGGUGCUGCAUGGCUGUCGUCAGCUCGUGUCGUGAGAUGUUGGGUUAAGUCCCGCAACGAGCGCAACCCUCACUUUUAGUUGCCAUCAUUAAGUUGGGCACUCUGAAAGAACUGCCAGUGAUAAGCUGGAGGAAGGUGGGGAUGACGUCAAGUCCUCAUGGCCCUUACGGGUUGGGCUACACACGUGCUACAAUGGCAGUGACAAUGGGUUAAUCCCCAAAAGCUGUCUCAGUUCGGAUUGGGGUCUGCAACUCGACCCCAUGAAGUCGGAAUCGCUAGUAAUCGCGUAACAGCAUGACGCGGUGAAUACGUUCCCGGGCCUUGUACACACCGCCCGUCACACCAUGGGAGUUGGUUCUACCCGACGACGCUGCGCUAACCCUUCGGGGAGGCAGGCGGCCACGGUAGGAUCAGCGACUGGGGUGAAGUCGUAACAAGGUAACC